GACAUAAUAUUUUUUAUUAUUUUAUGGUUAUUUUUUAUUUUUCAAAAAAGGAAUAAAGGUGAGAAGGAAGUGAAUUGAGAACGAGAGAAAGCGGCUGAGUUAAACCCUGUUCGUUUAAUCUCUUGACUUCAUCGUCAGUUACCGUUUUCCCCUCCAAAACAUGAUUUUCAGAGCUUCUCUUCAACGUUCGCUCGCUUCAAGGUGAUAAGGAUUUAACAUUGGGUAUCUGCUUCUUGAAGGAGAUACCAAAAAUAAUUUGAGAGUAUGUCUGGAUGCAAUAAAUCACCUAAAAAUGAUCAACAAUCAAUCAAAUAUUGGUGGAUUCAACAUGGAGGGAAAUCCUCUAAUACUACUGAUCUUUCUCGCAUCGAUUGUUCGCCUUCUCUAUCCAAUAACGAGAAUAAGCAAUGCUAUAGAAGUUCUCAACUAAAGUCCCCUGAGAUACUGAGCACGCCUCAGCUCAUCUCUGCAAUAGGCCAGUUAUGGGAUUCUGCUAGUCGCCCACUUUCAUUUUCCCUCCCAAAGGAAAAUGUGAAACAAGAUGAUAAAGGAAACCCAAAUGAGAAAAUUCUGGGUCACAUUCAUGAGAAAAGAAAUGGCGUGGUUACUUCAAAUAACACCAAUUACUAUUCUGUUAAUCCGAGGGCUACUUGCUUCGGUUCACAAAUUGUACAGGAAAAAUUGGAUUUCCCUACGGUAAGACAGAAGAUGUUAAUACUUGAAUCUUCUUAUGGAAGUCAAGAUGAUAUUCAUUCUUUAUACCAAAGAUUUUUGCAUGCAAGUGAUAAAAAUUCAAAUGCAUAUUUUAAUGAAGUGGAACUUGGGAGUGAAAAUGUGUAUUGUUGGAUGAAUAGGAAUGCUCCUAGUGAGCUAAAAUGUCAUGUAAAGGUUACUGAGCCUGAGAACCUGAAAACUAAUUAUCUGGUUGCCAAGGACUGCAUUUCAGUAGACACGACUGCAUCAGCUAAUGAAAGUGAAGCUCCAUCAAUACCUAAUAAUGUGGUUCGGAACACAAAAGAAGUAAAUCCUCUUGGUUCAGACUAUUUUCUUCAAGCUGUGUCGGAUAGUCAAAUGGAUGUUGGUGUUUGUCAUACCCUUUCUUCUAGUAUCUUUGCAGACUAUCAUAUUAACUCUUUAGCUACCUGUGACAGUGCUUCUGUGCAGUGCCAAUGUAAGAUUGAUGAUAAUGAUUUAAUGGAAAUCCAAAGAAGACAUUUAUCAGAUAUAAGUCAUGAUGAACCUAAGGCUCAGAUCUUCUCUGCAACCCAUCAGAAGCCUUGUCAUUCCCUAGCCAAGCAAGAACAUGCUUUUUCUGGGGCGUUGGCUGGAAUUUGUGUCAGCUUUUGUCUGCAUCCUGUUGACACGAUCAAGACAGUCAUUCAGUCGUGUCGUGCAGAACAGAGGUCCAUCUUUUACACUGGCAAAUCAAUUGUUUCUGAUAGAGGUUUUCCUGGACUAUAUCGUGGACUUACUACAAACAUUGCAUGUUCCGCUCCAACUUCUGCAGUUUAUACAUUCACGUAUGAAUCAGUUAAAGCAGCUUUACUUCCUUAUCUUCCAAAGGAGUAUUACUCUUUUGCACAUUGUGUGGGAGGUGGUUGUGCAAGCAUUGCCACAUCUUUCAUUUUUACUCCUAGUGAGCGAAUAAAGCAGCAGAUGCAAGUUGGGUCUCAUUACCGUAACUGCUGGGAUGUAUUGGUUGCAAUUAUCAGAAACGGUGGUCUUUACUCCCUUUAUGCAGGUUGGAGAGCUGUACUGUGCCGAAACAUUCCUCAUUCAGUUAUCAAGGUGGGAGGGGGAGGAUCACAUGAGGAAUUGGUAUUGUAUGCCCAAAAGUCCCUCAUCCUAAUGAUACACUAUUUUCAAUUUUUAUACAUAUGAAAGCUUGAAGCAAGUGAUGCCAUCUUCUAGUAUUCAAUCCCACACAUUUCAGACUUUAGUGUGUGGAGGAUUAGCUGGAUCUACUGCUGCUUUAUUCACAACUCCGUUUGAUGUGAUCAAGACAAGAUUACAGACACAGAUUCCUGGAUCAAGAAAUCAAUAUGAUAGUGUGUUUCAUGCCCUUUACAAAAUUAGCAAGACUGAAGGUUUGAAGGGACUAUACAGGGGGUUGACUCCAAGGUUGAUUAUGUACGUGUCUCAAGGAUCGUUGUUCUUUGCUUCAUAUGAAUUUUUCAAGAGUGCAUUUUCUUUGGAUGCAUCACUUCCCACUGGUUUAUAAUUUCACGUCGACAACAAGAAUGCUGAAGACAUAAAAUCUUAGAAUUAGCAAGACCGUUGUCAGGAGUACCAGCAGCAGCAUCGCCGAGCUUCGAAUGUUUAAUGGUGCCACAAGCUGCAAGCAAGUUCAUAAACUGUAUAUUUGAUGUAUGUAUAUGUAUACUAAGAACAUGUGAAGAUGCAAAAGAUCCACAGCAAUCAACCAUUGGAGAAAUCAUGCUUCCCCAAGUUGACAAGGAUAUAUUUGCAUUGCAAGUAUUAUCUUUGAAUGUUACCUCCACCAUUUGGAUGAUACGAUUACAUUGUAAGACGCAGACAAGAGUUUGUUAUUGUUUCUGACUGAAUAAUUUUGGUGUUCAUCUAAAGGAAUUUGUUUUUCUUCUGAGGAAUUAGUCAAUGAUUUUGUACCAUAUUAAAAAUUCACAAUUGGCAUCUUAUUAUUUCAUCAAUUCAUACCAGAAAUUACAAAA